GAUGUACGCUGGCGGCGUGCUUAACACAUGCAAGUCGAACGAUGAAAGCGGGAGCUUGCUCCUGCUGGAUUAGUGGCGAACGGGUGAGUAACACGUGAGCAAUCUGCCCCGAACUCUGGGAUAAGCGUUGGAAACGACGUCUAAUACCGGAUACGACGCGCGAAGGCAUCUUCUGCGCGUGGCAAGAAUUUCGGUUCGGGAUGAGCUCGCGGCCUAUCAGCUAGUUGGUGAGGUAACGGCUCACCAAGGCGACGACGGGUAGCCGGCCUGAGGGGGUGACCGGCCACACUGGGACUGAGACACGGCCCAGACUCCUACGGGAGGCAGCAGUGGGGAAUAUUGCACAAUGGGCGCAAGCCUGAUGCAGCAACGCCGCGUGAGGGACGACGGCCUUCGGGUUGUAAACCUCUUUUAGCAGGGAAGAAGCGAAAGUGACGGUACCUGCAGAAAAAGCACCGGCUAACUACGUGCCAGCAGCCGCAGUAAUAC
rnacentral:rRNA from 1 species